GAAAGCAAUCUGUCCAGGGCAGGAAAUCAGAAGAUCCAGGCGGUGCAAAUGGGUGUAAGGUUGAUUUCUAGUUCAAGCUCUCGACAAGAAUCUGGCCAACUAACGGUCAAAGCAAACUGGCGGCAGAUAAGAGUCAACGGAACUCAAGAUUUAAAGGCAAGAGUGCUUUGCUGCCGCUUUCCAUUCCUUUGCACGGAAGAGAAAACUGUAGCAGGAAGAGUGAAAGCUGCUAGAAUUCCAGGGGAAAUCCGAUGACAAAAAUUUCAGGCUCAAGAUUCAAGCAGAGCAUUAAGUCUGGUGUCCUUCAUCAAUGCUGUUGGAUCUUCUAAUUUUAUAUUUUUUGUUAACACCUUUGUCUGCUGAUUAUUAACCUUGAAACCUGCUAUUCUUCUGAUUUGCCCAUUAAUCUUUCAAUUCCCUUUAAAGCAGAAUAUCCCAGCCUUGGCCCCUUGAAGAUGUGUAAACUUCAAUUCCCAGAAUUCCCCAGCCAGAACAGGAUUUUCCAAACCCAGCACUGUCAUCUGCAGAAGUCCUUAACUUAUUAUAAAUUUACUCCACAUAAA